rnacentral:rRNA from 1 species
UACGUAGGGUGCAAGCGUUAAUCGGAAUUACUGGGCGUAAAGCGUGCGCAGGCGGUUUUGCAAGUCAGAGGUGAAAUCCCCGGGCUCAACCUGGGAACUGCCUUUGUGACUGCAUAGCUAGAGUACGGUAGAGGGGGAUGGAAUUCCGCGUGUAGCAGUGAAAUGCGUAGAUAUGCGGAGGAACACCGAUGGCGAAGGCAAUCCCCUGGACCUGUACUGACGCUCAUGCACGAAAGCGUGGGGAGCAAACAGG